GGUUUGGAUUUCUGAGAUGGCUCUACUCAGUUACUGACUGCUCAUGGAUUAGGAACUGCUUGCCUAGGGAAGAAAGAAGCAUGGUGGUGGUGGAACAAACCAGGAGGCGAUGUCUCAGUGGUAUGGAAGGUAGAUGGCGUGAGGCUGCCUGUGUGGUUUCCCAGACCUCCCAUAAUGCGUUCUGCUCAUCCUCUGAACUAGUUUCUUCAGUUAUAUCGCUUAAGGAAAAACAAUGGUUUAGCUGAUGCCUCAAUCACUGCUGAAGCCAGGCAUCCAAGAGCCCAGAGCCCACUUUGCCUCUCAACUGGAGAACCAAAGAACUAUAAAUGGACGUAUGCAAAUAGAAAAAGAUGAGUUUCCUUUUAUGCUGUACACCUACACCAGUUGUAAU